GAUGAACGCUGGCGGCGUGCCUAAUACAUGCAAGUCGAGCGAACGGACGAGAAGCUUGCUUUUCUGAUGUUAGCGGCGGACGGGUGAGUAACACGUGGAUAACCUACCUAUAAGACUGGGAUAACUUCGGGAAACCGGAGCUAAUACCGGAUAAUAUUUUGAACCGCAUGGUUCAAAAGUGAAAGACGGUCUUGCUGUCACUUAUAGAUGGAUCCGCGCUGCAUUAGCUAGUUGGUAAGGUAACGGCUUACCAAGGCAACGAUGCAUAGCCGACCUGAGAGGGGGAACCGCCACACUGGGACUGAGACACGGUCCAGACUCCUACGGGAGGCAGCAGUAGGGAAUCUUCCGCAAUGGGCGAAAGCCUGACGGAGCAACGCCGCGUGAGUGAUGAAGGUCUUCGGAUCGUAAAACUCCGUUAUUAGGGAAGAACAUAUGUGUAAGUAACUGUGCACAUCUUGACGGUACCUAAUCAGAAAGCCACGGCUAACUACGUG
rnacentral:rRNA from 1 species